rnacentral:misc_RNA from 1 species
UCCUUGUCGUCAAUGAAUCCCGAGACUUUGCUGUAAGCGUCUUAUGUGCUGCAGCAAGAACGGGGAACACAUCUGGGAUAAGUGAGGCAUUGAGUAGAGCAACUUCAGGUUCUAGUGUUCCAGCCUGCAUGGAAUCCAGCAGUUCCUUGGAAUUGGUGACAUCUGCAAAGAGAGCGAGAGAAAGGUUGUUUCCAUUGAUAUCGAAAACCUUCAUGGUUGGCUAGCGCUCGUAGUUAGCAGCGGCUGCACUUGGGGCGGUGGUUU